rnacentral:rRNA from 1 species
CAGUCGCCGCGGUAAUACGUAGGUGGCGAGCGUUGUCCGGAAUUAUUGGGCGUAAAGGGCUCGCAGGCGGUUUCUUAAGUCUAGUGUGAAAGCCCCCGGCUCAACCGGGGAGGGUCAUUGGAAACUGGGAAACUUGAGUGCAGAAGAGGAGAGUGGAAUUCCACGUGUAGCGGUGAAAUGCGUAGAGAUGUGGAGGAACACCAGUGGCGAAGGCGACUCUCUGGUCUGUAACUGACGCUGAGGAGCGAAAGCGUGGGGAGCAAACAGGAUUAGAUACCCGAGUAGUCCCUGUCUCUUAUAC